AAAAGCAGGGAGGGAAUUGGGUGAGGGGUGCAACUCAGCAGACAGA
rnacentral:SRP_RNA from 15 species